CAGAGGCUUUACAUACUUCUGAAAGCUCUCUUGGAACUCUUUCCAGUUGCCAUGUGAACAAGUCUGAGAAAUUCUGCUGAAGGAUUCCCUAAGCAUCCUAGGGCAGCUAGGAACCAGUUAAUCUAGCAGGGGAUUGCAGAUGCAUGACUGAGCCCAACCGAGACCAGAAGACCAUCCAGAUAGACCCAGCCUAAACUGCUGACCUGCAGAAGUGCAUGUCUUUUGGCCAUUUAUUUUAUUGGAGAGGAAUAUGCCAUAUUCUUGUGAAAAGAACCGGACAACAAAAGCAGAUUUGAAAGGCAAAAGACUGAUGUGUUAUGAAUCAUGUGAGACUGAUGCUGCCACCCCAUGUGUGAAGCUUCAGAGACUCAGGAAUGUCAACAGGACUUGGCUGAUGUCACACACAAG